CAACAGGGAUUGCCUCAGUAACGGCGAGUGAAGCGGCAACAGCUCAAAUUUGAAAUCNNNNCUCGCGGCCCGAGUUGUAAUUUGUAGAGGAUGCUUCGAGCAUGGUCUGGCCUAAGUUCCUUGGAACAGGACGUCGUAGAGGGUGAGAAUCACGUAUGCGNCCGGGUGCCUACGCUCAUGUGAAGCUCCUUCGACGAGUCGAGUUGUUUGGGAAUGCAGCUCAAAAUGGGUGGUAAAUUUCAUCUAAAGCUAAAUAUUGGCCAGAGACCGAUAGCGCACAAGUAGAGUGAUCGAAAGAUGAAAAGCACUUCGGAAAGAGAGUUAAACAGUACGUGAAAUUGUUGAAAGGGAAGCGCUUGCAACCAGACUUGCGCGCGGCCGAUCAUCCGGUGUUCUCACCGGUGCACUCGGUCGUGCUCAGGCCAGCAUCGGUUUCGGUGGUUGGAUAGAGGCCCUAGGAAUGUAGCUUCUCUCGGGGAGUGUUAUAGCCUGGGGUGCAAUGCAGCCUACCGGGACCGAGGACCGCGCUUCGGCUAGGAUGCUGGCGUAAUNGUUGUAAGCGACC
rnacentral:rRNA from 1 species